AUUGAACGCUGGCGGCAGGCCUAACACAUGCAAGUCGAGCGGAGCGGCGGACGGGUAAGUAAUGCCUAGGAAUCUGCCUGGUAGUGGGGGAUAACGUACGGCAACGGGCGAUCAUACCGAAUACUAUCAGAUGAGCCUAGGGGGGAUUCGCAAGUUGGUGGGGUAAAGGCCUACCAAGGCGACGAUCCGUAACUGGUCUGAGAGGAUGAUCAGUCACACUGGAAUGGGGACAGGGUCCAGACUCUACCGGAAGGCGGCAGUGGGGAAGAUUGGACAAUGGGCGAAAGCCGGAUCCAGCCAUGACUGGUGUGGGAAGAAGGUCUUCGGAUUGUAAAGCACUUUAAGUUGGGAGGCGUUACCAACAGAAUAAGCACCGGCUAACUUCGUGCCAGCAGCCGCGGUAAUAC
rnacentral:rRNA from 1 species